rnacentral:rRNA from 1 species
AGCGGCGGACGGGUGAGUAACACGUGGAUAACCUACCUAUAAGACUGGGAUAACUUCGGGAAACCGGAGCUAAUACCGGAUAAUAUUUUGAACCGCAUGGUUCAAAAGUGAAAGACGGUCUUGCUGUCACUUAUAGAUGGAUCCGCGCUGCAUUAGCUAGUUGGUAAGGUAACGGCUUACCAAGGCAACGAUGCAUAGCCGACCUGAGAGGGUGAUCGGCCACACUGGAACUGAGACACGGUCCAGACUCCUACGGGAGGCAGCAGUAGGGAAUCUUCCGCAAUGGGCGAAAGCCUGACGGAGCAACGCCGCGUGAGUGAUGAAGGUCUUCGGAUCGUAAAACUCUGUUAUUAGGGAAGAACAUAUGUGUAAGUAACUGUGCACAUCUUGACGGUACCUAAUCAGAAAGCCACGGCUAACUACGUGCCAGCAGCCGCGGUAAUACGUAGGUGGCAAGCGUUAUCCGGAAUUAUUGGGCGUAAAGCGCGCGUAGGCGGUUUUUUAAGUCUGAUGUGAAAGCCCACGGCUCAACCGUGGAGGGUCAUUGGAAACUGGAAAACUUGAGUGCAGAAGAGGAAAGUGGAAUUCCAUGUGUAGCGGUGAAAUGCGCAGAGAUAUGGAGGAACACCAGUGGCGAAGGCGACUUUCUGGUCUGUAACUGACGCUGAUGUGCGAAAGCGUGGGGAUCAAACAGGAUUAGAUACCCUGGUAGUCCACGCCGUAAACGAUGAGUGCUAAGUGUUAGGGGGUUUCCGCCCCUUAGUGCUGCAGCUAACGCAUUAAGCACUCCGCCUGGGGAGUACGACCGCAAGGUUGAAACUCAAAGGAAUUGACGGGGACCCGCACAAGCGGUGGAGCAUGUGGUUUAAUUCGAAGCAACGCGAAGAACCUUACCAAAUCUUGACAUCCUUUGACAACUCUAGAGAUAGAGCCUUCCCCUUCGGGGGACAAAGUGACAGGUGGUGCAUGGUUGUCGUCAGCUCGUGUCGUGAAAUGUUGGGUUAAGUCCCGCAACGAGCGCAACCCUUAAGCUUAGUUGCCAUCAUUAAG